CCUACGGGUGGCAGCAGUGAGGAAUAUUGGUCAAUGGGCGCAAGCCUGAACCAGCCAAGCAGCGUGAAGGAUGACGGCCCUACGGGUUGUAAACUUCUUUUGUAAAAGGAUAAAGUUAGGCACGUGUGCUUUUUUGUAUGUACUGUAUGAAUAAGGAUCGGCUAACUCCGUGCCAGCAGCCGCGGUAAUACGGAGGAUCCGAGCGUUAUCCGGAUUUAUUGGGUUUAAAGGGUGCGUAGGUGGAUUGUUAAGUUAGUGGUGAAAUGUUUGGGCUCAACCCUAAAAUUGCAAUUAAUACUGGUAGUCGUGAGUACAGAUGCGGUAGGCGGAAUGCGUGGUGUAGCGGUGAAAUGCUUAGAGAUCACGCAGAACACCGAUUGCGAAGGCAGCUUACUAAACUAUCUCUGACAUUGAGGCACGAAAGUGUGGGUAGCAAACAGGAUUAGAUACCCUUGUAGUC
rnacentral:rRNA from 1 species